UGGGGAAUAUUGGGCAAUGGGCGAAAGCCUGACCCAGCAACGCCGCGUGAGUGAAGAAGGCUUUCGGGUUGUAAAGCUCUGUCCUAGGGGACGAAGGAAGUGACGGUACCCAAGGAGGAAGCCCCGGCUAACUACGUGCCAGCAGCCGCGGUAAUACGUAGGGGGCGAGCGUUGCCCGGAAUGACUGGGCGUAAAGGGCGUGUAGGCGGCCGAUUAAGUGUGGAGUGAAAGUCCUGCUUUUAAGGUGGGAAUUGCUUUGCAGACUGGUUGGCUUGAGUGCGGAAGAGGUAAGUGGAAUUCCCAGUGUAGCGGUGAAAUGCGUAGAGAUUGGGAGGAACACCAGUGGCGAAGGCGACUUACUGGGCCGUAACUGACGCUGAGGCGCGAAAGCGUGGGGAGCGAACAGGAUUAGAUACCCUGGUAGUCCACGCUGUAAACGAUGAAUGCUAGGUGUUGCGGGUAUCGACCCCUGCAGUGCCGGAGUAAACGCAAUAAGCAUUCCGCCUGGGGAGUACGGCCGCAAGGUUGAAACUCAAAGGAAUUGACGGGGGCCCGCACAAGCAGCGGAGCAUGUUGUUUAAUUCGAAGCAACGCGAAGAACCUUACCAUGUCUUGACAUCGAGGAAAAGGUCUAGAGAUAGGCUGUGCCUUCGGGCAUCCGAAGACAGGUGGUGCAUGGUUGUCGUCAGCUCGUGUCGUGAGAUGUUGGGUUAAGUCCCGCAACGAGCGCAACCCUUAUGGUCAGUUACUAACGGGUAAAGCCGAGGACUCUGACAAGACUGCCGGGGACAACUCGGAGGAAGGUGGGGACGACGUCAAAUCAUCAUGCCCCUUAUGACAUGGGCUACAAACGUGCUACAAUGGCGGCUACAAAGAGGAGCGAGACUGUAAAGUUGAGCGGAUCUCAAAAAAGCCGUCUCAGUUCGGAUUGUGGGCUGCAACCCGCCCACAUGAAGUUGGAGUUGCUAGUAAUCGCGGAUCAGCAUGCCGCGGUGAAUACGUUCCC
rnacentral:rRNA from 1 species